rnacentral:rRNA from 1 species
CAGCCGCCGCGGGAAUACAGAGGGUGCAAGCGUUAAUCGGAUUUACUGGGCGUAAAGGGCGCGUAGGUGGUUAUGUAAGUGAGAUGUGAAAUCCCCGGGCUCAACCUGGGAACUGCAUCUUAUACUGCGUAGCUGGAGUGCAGUAGAGGGUAGUGGAAUUUCCGGUGUAGCGGUGAAAUGCGUAGAUAUCGGAAGGAACACCAGUGGCGAAGGCGGCUACCUGGACUGACACUGACACUGAGGCGCGAAAGCUAGGGGAGCAAACAGGAUUAGAUACCCGCGUAGUCCCUGUCUCUUAUAC